UAACGCGUAUCCAACCUGCCCACCACUUGGGGAUAACCUUGCGAAAGUAAGACUAAUACCCAAUGACGUCUCUAGAAGACAUCUGAAAGAGAUUAAAGAUUUAUCGGUGAUGGAUGGGGAUGCGUCUGAUUAGCUUGUUGGCGGGGUAACGGCCCACCAAGGCGACGAUCAGUAGGGGUUCUGAGAGGAAGGUCCCCCACCAUUGGAACUGAGACACGGUCCAAACUCCUACGGGAGGCAGCAGUGAGGAAUAUUGGUCAAUGGGCGAGAGCCUGAACCAGCCAAGUAGCGUGCAGGAAGACGGCCCUAUGGGUUGUAAACUGCUUUUAUUAAGGGAAUAAAGUGAGCCUCGUGAGGCUUUUUGUCAUGUACCUUAUGAAUAAGGACCGGCUAAUUCCGUG
rnacentral:rRNA from 1 species